rnacentral:tRNA from 1 species
GAGCUCAGUGGGUUAGUGGGCCUGGCCGUUAACCAGAAGGUUGGUGGUUCGAGCCCACCUACA